rnacentral:rRNA from 1 species
UACGUAGGGGGCUAGCGUUGUCCGGAAUCAUUGGGCGUAAAGAGCGUGUAGGCGGCCCGGUAAGUCCGCUGUAAAAGUCAAAGGCUCAACCUUUGAAUGUCAGUGGAUACUGCCGGGCUAGAGUCCGGAAGAGGCGAGUGGAACUCCUGGUGUAGCGGUGGAAUGUGCAGAUAUCAGGAAGAACACCAACGGCGAAGGCAGCUCGCUGGGACGGUACUGACGCUGAGACGCGAAAGCGUGGGGAGCGAACAGG